AUUGAACGCUGGCGGCAGGCCUAACACAUGCAAGUCGAACGGUAACAGGAAGCAGCUUGCUGCUUCGCUGACGAGUGGCGGACGGGUGAGUAAUGUCUGGGAAACUGCCUGAUGGAGGGGGAUAACUACUGGAAACGGUAGCUAAUACCGCAUAACGUCGCAAGACCAAAGAGGGGGACCUUAGGGCCUCUUGCCAUCGGAUGUGCCCAGAUGGGAUUAGCUAGUAGGUGGGGUAACGGCUCACCUAGGCGACGAUCCCUAGCUGGUCUGAGAGGAUGACCAGCCACACUGGAGCGGAGACACGGUCCAGACUCCUACGGGAGGCAGCAGUGGGGAAUAUUGCACAAUGGGCGCAAGCCUGAUGCAGCCAUGCCGCGUGUAUGAAGAAGGCCUUCGGGUUGUAAAGUACUUUCAGCGGGGAGGAAGGGAGUAAAGUUAAUACCUUUGCUCAUUGACGUUACCCGCAGAAGAAGCGCCGGCUAACUCCGUG
rnacentral:rRNA from 1 species